rnacentral:rRNA from 1 species
CCUUAAUUAUAACCUACCCGUACCGCAAACCGACACAGGUAGUCGAGGCGAGUAGCCUCAGGUGAGCGAGAGAACUCUCGUUAAGGAACUCGGCAAAAUGACCCCGUAACUUCGGGAGAAGGGGUGCUCUACAUUUGUAGAGCCGCAGUGAAUAGGCCCAAGCGACUGUUUAUCAAAAACACAGCUCUCUGCUAAAUCGUAAGAUGAUGUAUAGGGGGUGACGCCUGCCCGGUGCUGGAAGGUUAAGAGGAGUGCUUAGCGUAAGCGAAGGUAUGAAUUGAAGCCCCAGUAAACGGCGGCCGUAACAAUAACGGUCCUAAGGUAGCGAAAUUCCUUGUCGGGUAAGUUCCGACCCGCACGAAAGGCGUAACGAUUUGGGCACUGUCUCAACGAGAGACUCGGUGAAAUUUUAGUACCUGUGAAGAUGCAGGUUACCCGCGACAGGACGGAAAGACCCCAUGGAGCUUUACUGCAAGUUGAUAUUGAGUAUCUGUUGCGCAUGUACAGGAUAGGUAGGAGCCAUUGAUCUGAGGACGCUAGUUUUCAGUGAGGCGAUGUUGGGAUACUACCCUUGUGUCAUGGCUACUCUAACCCGCAUGCCUAAUCGGCAUGGGAGACAGUGUCUGCUGGGCAGUUUGACUGGGGCGGUCGCCUCCUAAAGAGUAACGGAGGCGCUCAAAGUUUCCCUCAGCAUGGUUGGAAAUCAUGCGUAGAGUGUAAAGGUAUAAGGGAGAUUGACUGCGAGACUUACAAGUCGAGCAGGUACGAAAGUAGGACUUAGUGAUCCGGUGGUACCGCAUGGAAGGGCCAUCGCUCAACGGAUAAAAGCUACCCUGGGGAUAACAGGCUUAUCUCCCCCAAGAGUUCACAUCGACGGGGAGGUUUGGCACCUCGAUGUCGGCUCGUCGCAUCCUGGGGCUGUAGUCGGUCCCAAGGGUUGGGCUGUUCGCCCAUUAAAGCGGCACGCGAGCUGGGUUCAGAACGUCGUGAGACAGUUCGGUCCCUAUCCGUCGCGGGCGUAGGAAAUUUGAGAGGAUCUGCCCUUAGUACGAGAGGACCGGGGUGGACUUACCGCUGGUGUACCAGUUGUCUUGCCAAAGGCAUCGCUGGGUAGCUAUGUAGGGAACGGAUAAACGCUGAAAGCAUCUAAGUGUGAAACCAACCUCAAGAUGAGAUUUCCCAUUCUUUAUGAAUUAAGAGCCCUGAGAGAUGAUCAGGUAGAUAGGCUAGAAGUGAAGGACAGUGAUGUUUGGAGCGGACUAGUACUAAUAGCUCGAGGACUUUACC